UCCCUGCGGGGACAAAGCAGGGCUCGGUCAGAGCCAGACAGUCGGAGGGCGGAGAAGAGCACUGGAGCCUCCCACCCUGUCCCCGCACCCUCGCCUGGAGCAGUGCCAGUCUCUAUUCAUAGCGCGCCGGCCCUUCCUCCUAGCCCUGGCCACAGAUAAAGAAACUGAGUCUCAGAGAGCCCCUUUUGUUUCAGUGCCAUCCUUUUCGGUGUGUGGAACAAGGAUCACAGGGAGCUGGCUUGUUCUUCUUGCUGUCUAUGAUGGCUUAUGCAACGGUGGGCCUUUGUGGGUAGGGGACAGGAAGGAAAUUGAGAGAGCUGGAGGCACAGGGUCCCGGAAACCUUUCCUCAGGCAUUAGUGAGCCUGUACGAGCCAACAACCAGCAAGCACAUAUUCAGAUAAGGGACCUGAGGCACAGAAGGGUUAAGCAACCUGUUCAAGGCCGCCGAGCUAAUAAAUCUGUUUACUACUCCAAAAUGUACCCUCAGAACCCAGUAUACUGCCUGGAAUAUAGUUGGCGUUCAAUAAACAACUGUAGAACAAAUUAAACGAGUACAUAUUUAACACUUUAAAAACAUAAAAGGGAAAUACCUUAACAUUAAAAACAUACACACAAGAGUAAAAUUAACAUCUUUUUAAAACUCGCUCACAAUCCUAGGAAGAUAACUACCUUCACUUGUCAAAUGUCAGCAAGACUUCAGCCCCUGAGCGCUUUUACA